GCUUGCUUUGGCAAAACACAUACUAAAGUUAGAACAAUGCAGGGAAGAUUAAUUAUUAAUAUGGCCACUGCACAAGAAUGGCAUGAAAAUUUAUGAUGCUUUGCAGAUUAAA